GGGACGAACGCUGGCGGCGUGCUUAACACAUGCAAGUCGAACGGGAUCCAUCGCGAGCUUGCUCAAGAGAAGAUCUAGUGGCGAACGGGUGCGUAACACGUGAGAAACCUGCCCCAGACUUGGGGAAUAACAGUCGGAAACGACUGCUAAUACCGAAUACCUUCGUAACGUCGCAUGGCGAAUCGAAGAAAGCUUUAUGCGGUUUGGGAGGGUCUCGCGGCCUAUCAGCUAGUUGGUGAGGUAACGGCUCACCAAGGCAUCGACGGGUAGCUGGUCUGAGAGGAUGAUCAGCCACACUGGGACUGAGACACGGCCCAGACUCCGUACGGGAGGCAGCAGGUGGGGAAUCGUUGCACAAUGGGCGAAAGCCUGAUGCAGCAACGCCGCGGUGCGGAAGAAGGCCGUUAGGGUUACGUAAACCGUCUUUACGAGCGAAGGGAAGAACGUGACGGUACUGCAGAAGAGGUAGCGACCAACGUACGUGCCAGCACGCCGCGUAA
rnacentral:rRNA from 1 species